rnacentral:pre_miRNA from 1 species
UGUGACCUACCCUGUAGUUCCGGGCUUUUGUAGUCCUUGAAUCUAUCUCAGAAGCUCGUCUCUACAGGUAUCUCACAG